GUGGGAGGGGGCUUGCUUCCGACGGCGGUGGGUCAGUCAAUUUUUCAUACCUGACACACUGCUAUCGGGAGCAAGCCCCCUCCCAC
rnacentral:misc_RNA from 1 species